rnacentral:lncRNA from 1 species
AGCUAGUAUUUUAUUAUUGCUAAACUGGACCCAUAAAUCAAUUUGAUUUUUCGAAAACCAAGCGAAAAACUCGAAAAUCAAGCAAAUUGAGCCAAAUCAUAGAAUUAGACCAAACCGGUUCGAAUCGAACCGGAAUGGUCUAGAAGCUUUAGAAUUCUCCUUCUUUUCUUUUUUUUCUUCUUUUUCUUUUCUUCUUCGG